GCCUUUCGAGUCGAACUUCAGAAAGCUGCACAGCAGUAAGAUCGCAUGCUAGAGACACGUGUAGUGACGUGCGCGUGCCUCCUGAACGAGCACGCCGCUUACGUUAGUACGUACUUAGACGGAUAACGCUUGGCCUGUUAGCGCUGCGGGCUCCAGAAAGUGCUCUUGCUGUGGAAAGCAUCCUGCGUUGUUCCUGUUCCAAAGAAGGCAGAUGCCUCUUCAAUGAAUAUCUACAGAUCAGUGGCACUUGUGUCUCCUAUCAUGAAGACUUCUGAGAGGCUGGGCUUGGACUACAUGAAUCCUCUUGGUGUAGACCACCUGGAGUUUAAACACUGAACAAAGACUGGAGUGGAAGAUGCAAAUGUCCCACCUGUACAAGACCAGUUAUGGGAAAUUCUGCCUGACCCUGAUGAUGACACUUCUGGUACCAGCCGUAAUGACACCAGUUCCGGUCCCAUUGAUGACAUCACAUCCGGUCCAGGGCUUGAUGACACCACUUCCGCUUCCGGCCCCAUUGAUGAUGUCACUUUCUCUGCUUACCUUUAAAACCACCAUUUUGGCCAUCUCAAAUCAGUUCUGUUGUGGACUCUAAUCAGUAAUAUAUUUAUUCAGCCAAUUUUGCA